UUGGAGGGCAAGUCUGGUGCCAGCAGCCGCGGUAAUUCCAGCUCCAAUAGCGUAUAUUAAAGUUGCUGCAGUUAAAAAGCUCGUAGUUGAAUUUCGGGACCAAUAUGUCGGUCGUGCCUCGGUACGUACUGGCAUCGUUGGUUUCUCCCUUCUGACGAACCAUGAUGUCAUUCAUUUGGUGUCGUGGGGAAUCAGGACUGUUACUUUGAAAAAAUUAGAGUGUUUAAAGCAGGCUCACGCUUGAAUACAUUAGCAUGGAAUAAUGAAAUAGGACGUUUUGAUUCUAUUUUGUUGGUUUCUAGGAUCGACGUAAUGAUUAAUAGGGAUAGUUGGGGGCAUUAGUAUUCAAUUGUCAGAGGUGAAAUUCUUGGAUUUAUUGAAGACUAACUACUGCGAAAGCAUUUGCCAAGGAUGUUUUCAUUAAUCAAGAACGAAAGUUAGGGGAUCGAAGACGAUCAGAUACCGUCGUAGUCUUAACCAUAAACUAUGCCGACUAGGGAUCGGAUGAUGUUAAUUUUUUAAUGACUCAUUCGGCGCCUUACGGGAAAC
rnacentral:rRNA from 1 species